AAUGAGCUACUUUUUUUUCCAUUAAGAAUCAAAAUUAAAUGUUACAAAAUUUUUCGAAGAAAAAAAAGUAGAGAUUAAAUGUCUACGCAUUUACGGAUACCUGGUUACUUUCAAAGGUAAAAUUACCAACUAUUUUUUAGUAAAUUAAUUUUAGGACAAGCUAAAGUUAGCACACGAAAUAUACAGCCCAAUUUUUUAUAUUUUUUAGGCCUAGAAAUAGCUUUCAAAAAAACUGUAAUAUGAAAAUAUAUUUUUCAAACAAAUUCUAUUAAUAAUAAUCUAUCACAGAAAGUAAUAAUAAACUAUAUUUUUAUUAAUGAAAAUGGUAAUAUGAGUAUGUAUAUAUUUAAAAAUAUUUUAGAUUAGAUUCUUUAAAAAGGAACUCGGCAAACAAGGCAACGACUGUUUAACAAAGACAUAGCUUUUAGAACCUAUUAAAAGUCAUUCCUGCCCGGUGUAAAUAUAAACGGCCGCGAAAGUGCUAAGGUAGCAAAAUAAUUUGUCUUUUCAUUGAAGACCAGUAUGAAUGGAGCAACGAAGCUUGACUGUCUCCUUAAAGUCAAAAAAAAUUAAUUUAUGAGUGAAAAAUCUCUUAUUUUUAUGAAGGACGAGAAGACCCUAAAGAGUUUUAGUAAAGUUAAUAUUAAUAUAUAAUAAUACUUUUAUUGGGGCAAUAUAAGAACACACAAAAUCUUUUAACAUAAGACCUCAAAGAGAAUAAAACAAACUACCUUAGGGAUAACAGCGUAAUUUUACCAGAGAGAACUUAUCGAAGGUAAAGUUUGCGACCUCGAU
rnacentral:rRNA from 1 species